rnacentral:tRNA from 1 species
GCACCCUUAGCUCAGCUGGUUAGAGCGCACGAUUCACAUUCGUGAGGUCGGAGGUUCGAUCCCCCCAGGGUGCACUA